rnacentral:lncRNA from 1 species
GAUUGCAGGCGUGAGCCACCACGCCUGGGCGAGAUUUAAAACACUAUCUUCGCUGUACAUUUUGGUAUUCCUUUUUUUUUCUUUUCUUUUUAUUUUUAUUUUGAGACAGAGUCUGGCUCUGUCACCCAGGCUGGAGUGCAAUGGCGUGAUCUCAGCUCACUGCAACCUUCGUCUCCCUGGUUCAUGCGAUUCUCCUGCCUCAGCCUCCUGAGUAGCUGGGAUCACAGGCACCAGCCACCAAGCGCGGCUAAUUUUUUUUUUAUAUUUUUGGUAGAGAUGGGGUUUCACCUUGUUGGCCAGGCUGGUCUCAAACUCCUGACCUCAGGUGAUCCGCCCUUCUAGGCCUCCCAAAGUGUUGGGAUUACAGGCGUGAACCACUGCACCUGUCCCAUUUUGGCAUUCUUGAUGUGAAGGAGAAACACAGUUACUUUAAUCGUUGUUAGAGGGUAGUGUUAAAUAUGAUUUAUACUAUAUGAUAAGGGAUUUUCUUUACACUAUAAAAAUUGGCUUUGAUUGUUUAUAUAUAAAAUGAAAAACUAUAUGUAUACAAGCAGCAGUUAGAAUUGUGUUCACUUCGGCAGCACAUAUACACAAAUUGGAACUAUACAGAGAAGGUUAGCAUGGCCCCUGUGCAGGAUGACAUGCAAAUUUGCGAAGCAUUCCACAUUUUUUUUAAAAAAAUAGGGUAACCAAUGAUACGGAAAUAGCCUAGAACAGUGGUUCUCAAACUUUGCACAUUAGAAUCACACUUCAGGAUCUUUAAAAAUAGAGUCGUACCUUGGUAUCAGUAGGAGAUUGGUUUAGGAUCUCCUACGGAUACCAAAAUCCAUGCAAA